rnacentral:rRNA from 1 species
UGUGACUGCGUACCUUUUGUAUAAUGGGUCAGCGACUUAUAUUCUGUAGCAAGGUUAACCGUAUAGGGGAGCCGGAGGGAAACCGAGUCUUAACCGGGCGUUAAGUUGCAGGGUAUAGACCCGAAACCCGGUGAUCUAGCCAUGGGCAGGUUGAAGGUUGGGUAACACUAACUGGAGGACCGAACCGACUAAUGUUGAAAAAUUAGCGGAUGACCUGUGGCUGGGGGUGAAAGGCCAAUCAAACCGGGAGAUAGCUGGUUCUCCCCGAAAGCUAUUUAGGUAGCGCCUCGUGAAUUCAUCUCCGGGGGUAGAGCACUGUUUCGGCUAGGGGGCCAUCCCGGCUUACCAACCCGAUGCAAACUGCGAAUACCGGAGAAUGUUAUCACGGGAGACACACGGCGGGUGCUAACGUCCGUCGUGAAGAGGGAAACAACCCAGACCGCCAGCUAAGGUCCCAAAGUCAUGGUUAAGUGGGAAACGAUGUGGGAAGGCCCAGACAGCCAGGAUGUUGGCUUAGAAGCAGCCAUCAUUUAAAGAAAGCGUAAUAGCUCACUGGUCGAGUCGGCCUGCGCGGAAGAUGUAACGGGGCUAAACCAUGCACCGAAGCUGCGGCAGCGACACUGUGUGUUGUUGGGUAGGGGAGCGUUCUGUAAGCCUGUGAAGGUGUGUCGUGAGGCAUGCUGGAGGUAUCAGAAGUGCGAAUGCUGACAUAAGUAACGAUAAAGCGGGUGAAAAGCCCGCUCGCCGGAAGACCAAGGGUUCCUGUCCAACGUUAAUCGGGGCAGGGUGAGUCGACCCCUAAGGCGAGGCCGAAAGGCGUAGUCGAUGGGAAACGGGUUAAUAUUCCCGUACUUGGUGUUACUGCGAAGGGGGGACGGAGAAGGCUAUGUUGGCCGGGCGACGGUUGUCCCGGUUUAAGCGUGUAGGUGUGUGUUCCAGGUAAAUCCGGUUCACUUUAACACUGAGGCGUGACGACGAGGCACUACGGUGCUGAAGCAACAAAUGCCCUGCUUCCAGGAAAAGCCUCUAAGCAUCAGGUAACAUCAAAUCGUACCCCAAACCGACACAGGUGGUCAGGUAGAGAAUACCAAGGCGCUUGAGAGAACUCGGGUGAAGGAACUAGGCAAAAUGGUGCCGUAACUUCGGGAGAAGGCACGCUGACACGUAGGUGAAGUGAUUUACUCAUGGAGCUGAAGUCAGUCGAAGAUACCAGCUGGCUGCAACUGUUUAUUAAAAACACAGCACUGUGCAAACACGAAAGUGGACGUAUACGGUGUGACGCCUGCCCGGUGCCGGAAGGUUAAUUGAUGGGGUCAGCGCAAGCGAAGCUCCUGAUCGAAGCCCCGGUAAACGGCGGCCGUAACUAUAACGGUCCUAAGGUAGCGAAAUUCCUUGUCGGGUAAGUUCCGACCUGCACGAAUGGCGUAAUGAUGGCCAGGCUGUCUCCACCCGAGACUCAGUGAAAUUGAACUCGCUGUGAAGAUGCAGUGUACCCGCGGCAAGACGGAAAGACCCCGUGAACCUUUACUAUAGCUUGACACUGAACAUUGAGCCUUGAUGUGUAGGAUAGGUGGGAGGCUUUG